rnacentral:rRNA from 1 species
CCCGCUGAACUUAAGCAUAUCAAUAAGCGGAGGAAAAGAAACUAACAAGGAUUCCCCUAGUAACUGCGAGUGAAGCGGGAAAAGCUCAAAUUUAAAAUCUGGCGGUCUUUCGGCCGUCCGAGUUGUAAUCUGGAGAAGCGUUUAUCCGCGUUGGACCGUGUACAAGUCUUCUGGAAGGGAGCGUCAUAGAGGGUGAGAAUCCCGUCUUUGACACGGACUACCAAUGCUUUUGUGAUGCGCUCUCGAAGAGUCGAGUUGUUUGGGAAUGCAGCUCCAAAUGGGUGGUAAAUGCCAUCUAAAGCUAAAUAUUGGCGAGAGACCGAUAGCGAACAAGUACCGUGAGGGAAAGAUGAAAAGCACUUUGGAAAGAGAGUGAAACAGUACGUGAAAUUGUUGAAAGGGAAACACUUGAAGUCAGUCAUGCCCUUUGGGAUUCGGCCUUGCUUCUGCUUGGUUUACUUCCCGUUGGGUGGGUCAACAUCAGUUUCGGUCAGAGGAAAAAGGCUUGGGGAAGGUGGCAGCAUUAUGCUGUGUUAUAGUCCCUGGUUGUAUACUUUGACUGGGACUGAGGACCGCAGCGUGCCUUCACGGCCGGGGUUUGCCCACGUACACGCUUAGGAUGUUGGCAUAAUGGCUUUAAGUGACCCGUCUUGAAACACGG